rnacentral:rRNA from 1 species
UACAGAGGGGGCAAGCGUUGUUCGGAAUUACUGGGCGUAAAGGGCGCGUAGGCGGCCUGUUAAGUCGAACGUGAAAUCCCCGGGCUCAACCCGGGAACCGCGUCCGAUACUGGCAGGCUUGAAUCCGGGAGAGGGAUGCGGAAUUCCAGGUGUAGCGGUGAAAUGCGUAGAUAUCUGGAGGAACACCGGUGGCGAAGGCGGCAUCCUGGACCGGUAUUGACGCUGAGGCGCGAAAGCCAGGGGAGCAAACGGG